GGAAGUAUGCCCGAACACCAUAAGGAAUACUUUGAUAGAGUAUAUCAUAGGGGUUAAAAUCCCCUUACUUCC
rnacentral:tRNA from 1 species